GAUGAACGCUGGCGGCGUGCCUAAUACAUGCAAGUCGAACGAGUUUUGGUCGAUGAACGGUGCUUGCACUGAGAUUCGACUUAAAACGAGUGGCGGACGGGUGAGUAACACGUGGGUAACCUGCCCUUAAGUGGGGGAUAACAUUUGGAAACAGAUGCUAAUACCGCAUAAAUCCAAGAACCGCAUGGUUCUUGGCUGAAAGAUGGCGCAAGCUAUCGCUUUUGGAUGGACCCGCGGCGUAUUAGCUAGUUGGUGAGGUAACGGCUCACCAAGGCGAUGAUACGUAGCCGAACUGAGAGGUUGAUCGGCCACAUUGGGACUGAGACACGGCCCAAACUCCUACGGGAGGCAGCAGUAGGGAAUCUUCCACAAUGGACGCAAGUCUGAUGGAGCAACGCCGCGUGAGUGAAGAAGGCUUUCGGGUCGUAAAACUCUGUUGUUGGAGAAGAAUGGUCGGCAGAGUAACUGUUGUCGGCGUGACGGUAUCCAACCAGAAAGCCACGGCUAACUACGUGCCAGCAGCCGCGGUAAUACGUAGGUGGCAAGCGUUAUCCGGAUUUAUUGGGCGUAAAGCGAGCGCAGGCGGUUUUUUAAGUCUGAUGUGAAAGCCCUCGGCUUAACCGGGAAGCGCAUCGGAAACUGGGAAACUUGAGUGCAGAAGAGGACAGUGGAACUCCAUGUGUAGCGGUGAAAUGCGUAGAUAUAUGGAAGAACACCAGUGGCGAAGGCGGCUGUCUGGUCUGUAACUGACGCUGAGGCUCGAAAGCAUGGGUAGCGAACAGGAUUAGAUACCCUGGUAGUCCAUGCCGUAAACGAUGAAUGCUAGGUGUUGGAGGGUUUCCGCCCUUCAGUCCGCAGCUAACGCAUUAAGCAUUCCGCCUGGGGAGUACGACCGCAAGGUUGAAACUCAAAGGAAUUGACGGGGGCCCGCACAAGCGGUGGAGCAUGUGGUUUAAUUCGAAGCAACGCGAAGAACCUUACCAGGUCUUGACAUCUUUUGAUCACCGAGAGAUCAGGUUUCCCCUUCGGGGGCAAAAUGACAGGUGGUGCAUGGUUGUCGUCAGCUCGUGUCGUGAGAUGUUGGGUUAGUCCCGCAACGAGCGCAACCCUUAUGACUAGUUGCCAGCAUUGAGUUGGGCACUCUAGUAAGACUGCCGGUGACAAACCGGAGGAAGGUGGGGAUGACGUCAAAUCAUCAUGCCCCUUAUGACCUGGGCUACACACGUGCUACAAUGGAUGGUACAACGAGUUGCGAGACCGCGAGGUCAAGCUAAUCUCUUAAAGCCAUUCUCAGUUCGGACUGUAGGCUGCAACUCGCCUACACGAAGUCGGAAUCGCUAGUAAUCGCGGAUCAGCACGCCGCGGUGAAUACGUUCCCGGGCCUUGUACACACCGCCCGUCACACCAUGAGAGUUUGUAACACCCGAAGCCGGUGGCGUAACCCUUUUAGGGAGCGAGCCGUCUAAGGUGGGACAAAUGAUUAGGGUG
rnacentral:rRNA from 1 species